UACAGAGGUCUCAAGCGUUGUUCGGAUUCAUUGGGCGUAAAGGGUGCGUAGGUGGCGCCGUAAGUCGGGUGUGAAAUUUCGGAGCUUAACUCCGAAACUGCAUUCGAUACUGCGGUGCUUGAGGACUGGAGAGGAGACUGGAAUUCAUGGUGUAGCAGUGAAAAUGCGUAGAGAUCAUGAGGAAGACCAGUGGCGAAGGCGGGUCUCUGGACAGUUCCUGACACUGAGACACGAAGGCCAGGGGAGCAAACGGG
rnacentral:rRNA from 1 species